AAGUCGUAACAAGGUUUCCGUAGGUGAACCUGCGGAAGGAUCAUUAACGAGUUGAUUCAGUGAUUUUAAAAGAUUUACUGAACUUCCCACCCUUUGUUUACUACAAUUGUUAUAUCUUUGGCGAUUCCGUUUUCUGUUGAUUUGUCUUUCUGAUAUCUCAAAAGAACCGCUGGCAAGAAAUUGUGGGUGUGUGUUCGCCGAAGUUUUUAUACAAACUCUUUUUUAUUAUUUGCAGUCUGAGAAUUUAAAUAUCAAUUUAAACAAAACUUUCAACAACGGAUCUCUUGGUUCUG
rnacentral:misc_RNA from 1 species